rnacentral:rRNA from 1 species
UACAGAGGGGGCAAGCGUUGUUCGGAAUUACUGGGCGUAAAGGGCGCGUAGGCGGCCUGUUAAGUCGGACGUGAAAAUCCCCUCGGCUCAACCGGGGGAACUGCGUCUGAUACUGGAUGGCUUGAGUUUGGGAGAGGGACGCGGAAUUCCAGGUGUAGCGGUGAAAUGCGUAGAUAUCUGGAGGAACACCGGUGGCGAAGGCGGCGUCCUGGACCAACACUGACACUGAUGAGCGAAAGCCAGGGGAGCAAACGGG